CCCUAGCCCCGAUAGAAGUGGAAAUCCUUUUGUGGCGGGGUUCGCCACAAAAGAUUGUAACGGAUAGCGGGAUUAGCU
rnacentral:sRNA from 1 species